AUGACUCGCCGGCUUCUAAUCACAGGGGCCCCAACAGCCACGGAACCGCAUCACGAUGCCCGUAACGGUCACCGCUCAGUGCUGCGCCCUAGGCGGUGGGCAAGGCAGCGAGUUCGAUUUCCUUCCAACACUGAAGAGUGCAAGCUGGAGUGUUGUGGAGUGUUGUUUAUUCUCAAAGGGGGCGGGGGACACAGUCUUGAGGAUAACCACGGGGACCUCUCGGUUGAAAUCCUAGCACUCUUUCGGAUGACCCCACAAGAGCACAGAGGAGGACCCCUGUGGCUGUGAUUCGAACAAAGGUUCCGGGCCACACUGGUAUAAUUUACAGUGGAGAUGAGGAAAUAACUUUUCAGGAUUGCUUGGGCUGCUGUUUUGAAAUGAGACAGAAGAGGAUCAAGGCCCAAUGCAGGAAGACCCUUUAGGAGGCUACUCCGUGAUCCAGGGCACCUAGAACAAAACUGAACUUUUGUGACGUUAGGCUGUCUCCUCACAACUUGAUGAUGCCUUCAGGCUCUAGUGAGGAAUAUCUCCACACAUGGUUUGUUCUGAUACAGACAUAUCCAACCUCUUCAUUCCAAACUACUGUCUCCAAAAGAGAAUGUGGCAUGUGUGUGUAACUGAGUAGCACAUAGAAGGAAGAAGAAGGCAACCGUGGCUGAAAGCGACCCCACUCAAUCUCAUUCAUGACCAUGAGCUCCUUGAGAGAAGAAUCAAGCAAGCUCUUCUUCGCUUCUCUUGUGCCUGGUAAUUUACCAUGGAGAGACCUUCAAGAUGGCGGAGAAGUAAGACAUGGAG